AAGUCGUAACAAGGUUUCCGUAGGUGAACCUGCGGAAGGAUCAUUAACACGUAUCCAACGUUAAACAACCCCGUGAACCUUCAGCCUGCUCUCGUAGCCCACGCGGCAACAGUUUGAUUCGGCCUCUGUUACGAUGUGAGAAGUUACAGUUACGAUCGAGCGGUAGAGUCAGUGGCAUGGCGUCCCCAAGCAGAAUCCAGAGAAUGAACUGGCUGCGCAAGGAUAACGCCUCACGGUUGCUAGAGGUCGAUCACCGACCGGCAGACAUGACUAGCUUAGCGGUAACGCGCUGAGUAAAAAAAAACCGAACAACUGUUAACAAUGGAUAUCUUGGUCGA
rnacentral:misc_RNA from 1 species